rnacentral:tRNA from 1 species
GCGGGCGUAGCUCAACGGUAGAGCGGCAGCCUCCAAAUCUGUCAGGUGCGGGUUCGAAUCCUGCUGCCCGUGC